rnacentral:snRNA from 1 species
AUAUAUAUAUGCCUCUUCAUUUGCGGAUAAUGUUUUCGCCUUUUACUGAAGAUUUGCGUGGGGAGGCACAAUACAAUGCAUCUUGCCUCAUUUUUUUCAGCUUUGUCUUCGGACAGAGU